GUAAGUUCCCUGCGGCCUGCCCAUCCAUGCUGAACUGGACCUUGUGACGCUGAUACAGCCAAUGGCCAGGAGAUUUGAGGGGCAGAUUCUGCAUCUAUCCAAAGGGUAGGAUCCUGAUUGUUACACGAACUGUCCACCUCCAUCCAGAGCCGUGUGGCUUGUAGUGCCUUCUCGUGGCAGGUAUAUUUUCCUGCCUGUUCACGUGACUUGUGUUGGCCAGUGGAAUAUAGUUUGAUCUGCAGUAGUUUGAAUCUGAGGAUGCUGAACCUGUGGAUAAGGAGAGCCUACUUUUCUUGGACAAAUGCCCUGUGUCAGAAGAGUGUGGUAAACAGAAGCUCAGCUCCUUCAAGGAUGACAGCCUUGGUUACACCACCAGGAAAAGAGACCAAAGUCAGGGAGCAGUCGUUUUCACAUGGGAUGAACUCAGUGUAAGAGGCAAGCAGAUUGUGGAAGAUUAGAAGAUAAUGGAUACUAUUAUUCCAUCCAGAUUCCUCUUCAGGACCAAGGACUCAUUUUCCAGCUGGCAGGAAUGUUAGCUACUGACGGCCAUGGCUGAGUUCCUCUUCAGGAAUUAUCCUCCACUUGAGGGGAAUUGCUUUGUUCAGUGUUACACUCCCUCUAUAGUGGCAGCCCACACUGGUUGAUGUGGGGUACAAAGUCCUGGACCUUGUCUUAGAUGGGAUAGUUCUGAAGGGCUAUUCCAGCUCCAGAACUCCUCAUAGGAUUGGCUGAGGUCUCCUCUGCAACUGGAUCACAGUUCAACUUUUUCUUCUGCCCAGUCCUUCUUCUCUCAUCUGUUGCCAGUUUUAUUCGUGAGUGUGUUUCCCAAUAAACCCCCUGCAUGCAAAUCUCAGAGUCUGUUUCCUAGGGAACUCAGCCUAUGUUGGCUAGUGAAAGAAACUUUUAUAUGUAUUUGGAAUAAGCCUUCGGAAGUAUAUACAGGUUAGCUACCUCUACCCUAAGUGAGUGUGAGUGACUAAUGCUAUCCAGUUAUGGAUGAAGGAAAAACUGUAAAAUGGAAUGUCGUUCCAAAGAAUCAAAAUGAUUUGUUAUUCUCAGGAAAAUCCCUUCAUUUGAUCAUGAAUAAAGAUGAAUAGAACUUUUAAGAAUAGAAAGCCCCUUAAAA
rnacentral:lncRNA from 10 species